UGACAGAUAAAGUUUCGGCGGUAAAGGAUGGGCAUGCGUGACAUUAGCUAGUUGGUAGGGUAACGGCCUACCAAGGCUACGAUGUCUAGGGGUUCUGAGAGGAAGAUCCCCCACACUGGUACUGAGACACGGACCAGACUCCUACGGGAGGCAGCAGUGAGGAAUAUUGGUCAAUGGGCGAGAGCCUGAACCAGCCAUCCCGCGUGCAGGAAGAAUGCCCUAUGGGUUGUAAACUGCUUUUUCGCAUGAAGAACACUCCUGACGUGUCAGGAGCUGACGGUAAUGCGUGAAUAAGCACCGGCUAACUCCGUGCCAGCAGCCGCGGUAAUACGGAGGGUGCAAGCGUUAUCCGGAUUUAUUGGGUUUAAAGGGUGCGUAGGCGGCAAUUUAAGUCAGUGGUGAAAUCCUGCAGCUCAACUGUAGAACAGCCAUUGAAACUGAAUUACUUGAGUAAUCUUGAGGUAGGCGGAAUGUGUAGUGUAGCGGUGAAAUGCUUAGAUAUUACACAGAACACCGAUUGCGAAGGCAGCUUACUAAGGAUUUACCGACGCUGAUGCACGAAAGCGUGGGGAUCAAACAGGAUUAGAUACCCUGGUAGUCCACGCCGUAAACGAUGAUAACUCGCUGUUGGCGAUACACAGUCAGCGGCUUAGCGAAAGCG
rnacentral:rRNA from 1 species